AUGGAAGCAACAGCGGACCUAGCCACUCCGUCAAGCCGUCCGCUCUCUGUCCGCGUGUCGGCGGAGACAGAAUGUGCUGACAAUUCCAUGGCCGAAGAACCAAUGAGCCCUACUGGAAGAGGCAUGGAAGAGAUGGGUAUCUGCAUCGUCUUUGUGAUGGGGCUCGGCACGCCCGUGAACCUGCCCGUCUUCCGUGCCGGCAUUGAAACAGAACUAAUUGCCCGUUUGCCACGCUUACGCAGUAUUCUAGUAAUGGACGAGUCCACCAAUGAUGGCAAGCCGCGAUGGGUGCAAACGACAGUGAAUGUGGACGACCACAUCGUCGUCCCAACGCUGGAUCCUGCUGCCGUGGCAUCCGACCCAGAAAAGGCAGUGGAGGACUACGUGGCGUCGCUGUCCCUACUCUCGAUGGAUAGACGCCGCCCGCUCUGGGAGUUCCACUUCCUCAACUUUCCAACCUCUGAGGCGGCCUCCACGGUGGUGCUCCGCCUGCACCACUCCAUUGGUGACGGCAUGUGCAUUACUACGCUCCUUGUAGCGUCGUCGCUCAGUGCAGCUGACCCGGCGAGGGUGCCAGCGAUGCCGCCAGCACCCAAGCGAACAGGUCCAAUCUACCAGGUGCCACCACGGCCUCCGCUGUCUUCAGGCGAUUACCUAGCACUCCUCGCAUGGGUUUGGUCGUAUUUUGUACUGGCGUGGCACACACUGGUGGACAUGGCGUUGAUUAUCGCGACGGUAAUGUUCUUGAGUGAUCCACAGACAUUGUUCAUGCGUGCGCCAGACAGUAAGGAGUCUCUUCACCGCAAGCGUUUCGUGCAUCGGAGCCUUAGCUUUGACGAUGUCAAACUCAUCAAGACUGCCAUGAACUGCGUACGUAAAGCUACUCAACCUUUAUCAUGA
rnacentral:rRNA from 1 species